rnacentral:rRNA from 1 species
UACGAAGGGGGCGAGCGUUGUUCGGAUUUACUGGGCGUAAAGGGCGCGCAGGCGGCUCAUUUUGUCAGGCGUGAAAGCCCCGGGCUUAACCUGGGAACUGCGUUUGAUACGGAUGGGCUAGAGUUCGGUAGGGGAGACUGGAAUUCCUGGUGUAGCGGUGAAAUGCGUAGAGAUCAGGAAGAACAUCGGUGGCGAAGGCGCUCUGCUGGACCAUAACUGACACUCAGGGACGAAAGCUAGGGGAGCGAAUGGG